UUUCUAAAACUUUAGAUUGUCUUCUUAGGUUUUUCACCUCAAAGCUAUUUGACAAAAACAUCUAGUCUAACUUUAAGUUACUUUCAAAGCUGUGUUUCAGCUGUGAUGCACUCUGAAACCUGUGAACACAUCUCCCAACAUUAAAGUUAAAAGAAUUUAAGCUAGCUGGGCUAAUUGGGACUCAAUUGUUUUUCUUAAUCAUUAACCUAAGCCACAGUCUAUACAGCUCCUCAAUAGAACCUCAUGUGUUUUAGCUGUGUGACACUUCCUUGUGUUUAUUUUUAUUCAUCAAAACUCUGUAUAAAGUAACAUUAUUAUUAUCAAUUAGACAGUACAUCUUAGGACAAAUCAUCUUCAAAAUAAUCUACAGGUUAAAAUGCCCAGGAGAACAGGAUGUUUCCAUGAGAUAAACACACUACAUUAUAGGCAGUGGGGAUCUCCCCACACCCAUUCACACCAUGCCAGAUACCAGAGGAAGCUGGCAGGGGCAAACAUGUAAAGGCACAGCAGAAGCAAAAGACACUCUGGGGUCUGUGGUCUCGGGGCCUUGUCUAACCAAGAUUCACCCAUCAGGAAGUUUCCUCCUGGUGGGCUGACACCUUGAACGUCAGUUGCCACCUGCUGCUCCUCUAACAUGGCCACCAGCACUCAUGUUAAUGUGGCAAGCACUUAAUCAACCGACCUCUCUCCCUGGCCCCAGUUUCCCAUUUUCUACAUAGUUUAUCUUAUUUUCAGUAACUUCCUAAAACAAAAGGCAGUGGUCAAACUAUUAGUUUCUCAUCCGACUCAACCCAAUUGUGAAAUUAAUUCACCAAGUUUUCUAAGCACCAAUAAAAGAUGUGGUAUAACUUGACAACUUGCGGUAUGUGGUGGUGUGAAUGAGAAUGGCCCCAUAGGCUCAUAUAUUUGAAUGCUUGGUCAUCAGGAAGUGGAACAACUUUAUCAGAUUAGAAGGAUUAGAAGGUGUGGCUUUGUUGGAGGAAGUAUGUCACUGGGGGUGGGCUUUGAGGUUUUCAAAAUCCCAAGCCAGGCCCAGUGGCUUUCUCUUCCUGUUGCCUGCAGAUCCUGAUGUAGAACUCUCAGCUACCUCUCUGGCACCAUGUCUGCCUGCAUGCACCCAUGCUUCCCACCAUGAUGAUAAUGGACUAAACCUCUGAAAGGGGAAAUCUUUAAAUAGAGAACUAUCAGACCAUAACAAAGGAGAAGCUUGGAACUGCUGAGGUGUCUCAAUUGAUCAACAAUUUGCAGAAGUGCCACCGUCGGACACCUCUCCCCACCAGUGACACAAGAAGAGUGUGUAUCUAGGACACAUCCAUCCACCUGGACAUACACUUUUUUUUCUAAUUUUCAGGGAAAUUAGGAUAUGACUAACCAGCUUUUCUACAGACACAGAUUUAGAACUGAUACAGCUCAAAAGGCCCUGAUUGGCUUUUCAGUUCUGAAAGAAAAAAAAUGCAGUCCCUCGUGCCUAGUCCAUCAUUGGUGACAGACGGAGAAACUGUGAACCGUUGUCAUCCCGUUUCUCUCCUAAUGGCCCUGUUAAUUAUUCACGCUUUUGCGUCAUCGCUGACUUCAUACUCCCCAUCCUUCAUAGAAUCGGUCUUCAAAGCCUAUUUUUCCCCCUUGAAAUGUUCCUGGUGCGUGUCUCUAACUCUUCAGCCCAUAUCUCGCCUCUGAGUGAGCCCGUCUCCCUGACAGAUUGCUGCAGUCUCCCUUUUAGCCUCUCUGACGCCGAGCCCCCUCUAUCUGAUUCAUCUUGUGCAGGCUGCAGCCUGGGCCUCCUUGAGCAGUGCUGGCACCACACGACUCCCCCACGUCAAAUGCUCCAAAUGAAAAAGCAGGACAACGGCAAGAAGAUCAGAUGGGUCUCACCUGUCGCUGGAGCAUGUGCAUCUUUCUGCCGGUAUUUCCUGACGACGCAAAGACGCACAAGCUUCUGCAGAGGGCCCCACACACAGCGGUUCAAAGGAACACAGAAGUUCACUUCCUUAUUACUCUGCAGUUUGGACAUCUAAUCGUAGUUUCAGUGAGCUAAUGCCAAAGUGUAGGCAAGACUAGUUCCUUUUGGAAGCUCUGAGGAGAGACUCUGUUUCCUCGUCUUUAUCAGCAUCCAAUGACUGCCAAAUUCCUUAACAUGUCCCCUCCCUCCACCUUCAUAGUGCAUCGAUGUAGCCUCUGCAUUAUUGCCUUCUCUAAGUGAGUCCCUGAUUCUUUUCAGAGAGCUUAAGCUCCAAGCAGGUGCACUGAGUAGUUCAGGAUACUCUCACCAAAGCCAAGAUCCUUAAUCAGUUCUGCAGAGUUCCUGUUUCCUUAUAAAGUUACACCACAGGAACGAGGGAUUGUAAUGUGCCCUGUCCUGUUGGGGACAUCAUGCAGCCUACCGUAGCAGAUAUCAAGCCAAACACUAUAGUCAUACCGAUUUUCUCGAAAGAUAAGGCCGCAGCACCGCUUGUAGGAAGGUGAAGUACACAUACUUUUCCUCAUUCUUCCCACUAAAUAAAAUUUUUAAAUCCCAUAUAUGAAACAAACUCAGAUAAUGAAGACUCAGAAAACAGAUGAAGGUAAACUGCUUAGGAACCAUGAGACUCAAGAGACACCAUAGCAAUGAGGUCGCAGGGGUUUCUUUUUGCCAUAUAAAUCCUGCAUUUGCUUCUAAAGAUGGGAAUGAUCCACAAAUGAUGAUGGAAUAGGCUUUUUCCCAUCAACAAAAUCUUGCUUUCUAUAAUCAAAGGACCAGAAAAGGGGAUCCUAGGAAAACAGGAAAACUUUCCACAGUGAAUGCUCCAGUACAGCCAAACACCACAGUUAAAGAAGGAAAAACAAAAGUGGCCUUAUUCUAGGCAACCAGCAAAGGCUGAGAGGGGAUCUUAGGAUCCCACCCCUACCAGGAUGUCAAGGGCAAAGCCACUCCCUUCUUCCCUGAGCACAGAAGCACUGAAGGCAGCCGUGUAGUGAGCCGGAGAAUGUGAUCUUACAAGCAAGUACCACUCUUCUCCGGGGUGCUAAAGGUAGACCACGGAAUUCCAUCCCAAUAGGUAGUUCCCGGCAUCCCAUCCCUCCCUUAUCAGCCUAUGAGCCAGAGGGAGGCCCAGCCAUCAUGUCAUCAGUAAAACCACAGGAAAAGGUUACAGUUCCACAUCUGUGAUGAUAUUGUGUUCCCCAAAAUAUUGUGCACCCUAAUAAACUUAUCUGGGGUCAGAGAACAGAACAGCCAUCAGACAUAGAGGCCAGAAAAUGGUGGCGCACACGCCUUUAAUCCUAGCAUUCUGAAGGCAGAGAUCUGUCUGGAUCUCUGUGAGUUCAAAGCCACAUUGGAAACAGCCAGGCAUGGUGACACAAGCCUUUAAUCCCAGGAAGUGAUGGCAGGAAGCAGAAAGGUAUAUAAGGUGUGAGGACCAGAAACUAGAAGCUUUUGGCUGGUUAAGCAUUUAGGCUUUUGAGCAGCAGUUCAGCUGAGAUUCACUUGGAUGAGGACUCAGAGGCUUCCAGUUUGAGUAAACGAGAUCAACUGAGGAAUUGGCAAGGUGAGGUUAGCUGUAGCUGGUUCUGCUUCUCUUCCAGCGUUCACCCCAAUACCUGGCUUCAGGUUUGAUUUUAUUAGUAAGACCUUUUAAGACUUGUUUUAUACACAUCCACCCAACAGUGACUAGAAGCCUCCAGUAUCCACAAACACUGGGCGGGGAAUCCAGAAUUCUGCCUCUACCUGUAGUAGCAAGACAGAAAAUCUUCUGUCCACCCUACCCUCCGUGAAGCAAUGUAAGAGGACACAUACAGGCUGGGAACAUGGCUCAGCUGGUGGCCUCCCUGACCCCUAACACCACAUAAAGCCGGGAUAGGGGAGCAAAUCUGCAAUCCUAGCACUCAUGGAAUAGAAGCAGAAAAACCAGAAAGUCAAGGUCAAGAUCAUCCUCAGCUACAGAACCAGUGUGAGGCCAGAUGGAGCUACAUGAGACCAUUUUUAAAAUAGGGGCAGGGGGCACAAGAGCCUCAUAACAGUCUAGGAAAAUGUCCAGGAUAACAUCUUCAGACAUUCCCAUCAACUGAAUGAAAUAAAACAAUCAACAAAUGCCAAUGAUACAAUUAUAGAAAUGUCAGAAUUAUCUGACAGAGUGAAAGGUAGCCAUAAUAAAAGUGCUUCUACAAAUGAUUACAAACGUGCAUGAAACAGAUGAAAAAUAACAAACCCCAGGAAAGAAACACAGAACAGUGAGGAACCAAACAGAAACUUUAGAAUGGAAAAAAGUGUAAAAUUUGCAGGCAAACUAAAUAGCAGGAUGUGGAGAAGAGAGACCCAAUGAACAGAAAGACAGAACAACAGAAACUGACCUCUCUGAAUAAUACCCAAGAGAAAACAGACUAAACACCUGUGCUCAGCACAGCCUGUGGGUCCUGACAAAAAUACUCACGCUAACAGAGUGUAGGAGAGAAGAGCGAGCAGGAUGGAAAGGGGGUUGACAGACAUAAUAGUGAGAAACUAUUUUCCCCAAACUACUAUUUCCAAACUUGUCAAGGCACACGUUCAGAAACCUGAAAAGCUGAGCAAUUGUCUAAAAAUGAUGGAAGAAAUCCACAUUAUGACAUGUGCAGUCAAAAUCCUGGAAACCUUAGGCCUGUAGGAUGGUGCAGCAGGUAAAGGCUGCUGACCAAGGCUGGCGACCGAGUUCCAUCCCCAGAAUGCAUGGGAAGAUGAAAAGAACCAACUCUACAAAGUUGUCCUCUGACCUCCACACACGUGCUGUGGUGCACACACAGCUGCACACACUUGUGCAUUCACACACACACA